AAACGCACAUUAUAAGUGCUAUAAAUAGGGGUCCCAUAUUGGACGUGCACCUGUAGGCAGGUUCCUACAAAUAAAGUGUGCACCUUUGUUCCCUCUGACUUGGCCUCAUUUGAGAGAAACUCAAAUGAACAUCGGAAGUUGGGACUUGCCUGUUGUUUUGGUGACUUUGCUUAAUUAGGAGGGCAAUGUCUAAUGAUCACAUGCUGAAAGUUACCUUUGAUCUAAAACAUGCCUGAAACUUAAGUGAGCGCCUAGCAUGGGCAAAGUACAGUAUUU